GACGAACGCUGGCGGCGCUGCUUAACACAUGCAAGUCGAACAGGAAAGGCCCUGCUUUUGUGGGGUGCUCGAGUGGCGAACGGGUGAGAAACACGAGAGUAACCUGCCCUUGACUUUGGCAUAACUUCAGGGAACUGGGGCUAAUACCGGAUAGGAGCUCCUGCUGCAUGCUGGGGGUUGGAAAGUUUCGGAGGUUGGGCAUGGACUCCCUGCUCAUCAGCUUGGUGGUGGGGUAAUGGCUUACCACGGCUUUGACGGGUAGCCGGACUGAGAGGGUGACCGGCCCCCUUGGGACUGAAAUACGGCCCAUACUCCUACGGGAGGAAGACAAGGGGAAUAUUGCACAGUGGGCGGAAGCCUGAUGCAACAACGCCUCGUGCGGGAUGACGGCCUUCGGGUUGUAAACCGCUUUCGCCUGUGACGAAGCGUGAGAGACGGUAAUGGGUAAAGAAGCACCGGCUAACUACCUGCCAGCAUCCGCGGUGAUACGUAGGGUGCGAGCGUUGUCCGGAUUUAUUGAGCGUAAAGGGCUCGUAGGUGGUUGAUCGCGUCGGAAGUGUAAUCUUGGGGAUUUAACCUUGAGCGUGCCUUCGAUUACGGGUUGACUUGAGGAAGGUAGGGGAGAAUGGAAUUCCUGGUGGAGCGGUGGAAUGCGCAGAUAUCAGGAGGAACACCAGUGGCGAAGGGGGUUCUGUGGGCCUUUCCUGCCGCUGAGGAGCGAAAGCGUGGGGAGCGAACAGGCUUAGAUACCCUGGUAGUCCACGCUGUAAACGGUGGGUACUAGGUGUGGGGUCCAUUCCACAGGUUCCGUGCCGUAGCUAGCGCUUUAAGUACCCCGCCUGGGGAGUACGGCCGCAAGGCUAAAACUCAAAGGAAUUGACGGGGCCCCGCACAAGCGGCGGAGCAUGCGGAUUAAUUCGAUGCAACGCGUAGAACCUUACCUGGGUUUGACAUGGAUCGGGAGCGCUCAGAGAUGGGUGUGCCUCUUUUGGGGUCGGUUCACAGGUGGUGCAUGGCUGUCGUCAGCUCGUGUCGUGAGAGGUUGGGUUAAGUCCCGCAACGAGCGCAACCCUCGUUCACUGUUGCCAGCACGUUAUGGUGGGGACUCAGUGGAGACCGCCGGGGUCAACUCGGAGGAAGGUGGGGAUGACGUCAAGUCAUCAUGCCCCUUAUGUCCAGGGGUUCACGCAUGUUACAAUGGCUGGUACAGAGAGUGGCGAGCCUGUGAGGGUGAGCGAAUCUCGGAAAGCCGGUCUCAGUUCGGAUUGGGGUCUGCAACUCGACCUCAGGAAGUCGGAGUCGCUAGUAAUCGCAGAUCAGCAACGGUGCGGUGAAUACGUUCCCGGGGCU
rnacentral:rRNA from 1 species